AUGCGUCUUAACUACCAGCAAGAGGAUUUAAAAUAAAUCAAAAUAAAUGUAUCUUUAAACGAUUAAUGUCAUAUCUCGCUCUGUGGCACAUUGUCGUUUCAGGCUGUCUGAGAGGCAGGGGGACAGUUGUGCUUCAAAAUGUGGCUCGUUGAUCAAAAAUGGAGCUUCAGACGAUGUGUUGAAAUUCAUGCAAGAAAAAGAAAAAAAGGCUGAAGGUUCAAGAGGUACAAGAGCGUCAGAUGAACCAUUAAUGAUAAAGAUUCACAUUCAAAAUCAUGAGUAAACUGUAGAAGUCAGAAAGGGAGAUUAAACGUUAAACAGAGAAAUGCAUCUAAUGAGUCAAUUUUAUACAUUAAACCAAUUUUUGUAAAACCCGAGCUGCAGACAUGCGCAUGUGUGUCAUUUUCUUCCUCCAGUCCCUCUCAAACAUUGAUGACACACUGUGCACAUUAGCCCCAUGUAACAACAAUAAUAACCAUCAACACAAACGGUCUGUCUCCUCACUCCACAACGCCUGCUUUCAUCUGGGCUGAGGACCGCAGAGGUUCUGCCAGUGUGUCGACCCGCGGACCCUUGAAAACAACAGCUGGCAUGGAGGAAGGGUGGGAGAUAAGGGAAGGCAGGAUGGGAGGAGGAGAGGAAGGGAGUGUGAAGAAGUGAAGGAGGGAAGUAGAUAGGAAGAGUCCUGAAGUGGACGAAGGCGGUGAGAUCUCACAGCUACUCGCUAAGAUUUUUGUUCAAACAUUCCUCUCCGGUCUUACUGCCCCGGGACGUUUGGCUACGGCAUCACCGCCGGGCCAAAGUGCCCAAAUAUAGAGUUCGUCAUGACGUUUGCUUUGGCCCGUUCAUGCUGCCGGGAGGAUUUCCAUCUCAUUUUUGGGCGCUUGAUGACUUUUCUGGGAAUGUUCUCCUCAGUUGAGGAUUCCGUGGAGCAGAUACACAGUAUAUGUGACACAUAGAUAUAAAUAUUUGACACAUGAAUAGAAGAAAGUGCAUGACCAAUACACACACACACACACACACACACGCACACACGCUAAACUCUCAGCAUAAAGAUGUUUUCAGCUGUUGCUGCUGCUUGUAUAAGUGCUUCUUUGUUCCCUAAGAACUUCUCCCCCUUUUCCUCCCCUAUCACCUCCCCUCUACCACCUCUCUAUCUACGUCCAUCCCACUGGCUACCUUCAGCGUACCUCCCCCGCUCCUUCCGCUUCUCCACCACCCCUCCCUCCGUCACCAGCUUCCCCUCCGUCCAAAUGAAAUGUCUCUACUAAGUGAUCAUUGGAUUUCCGGUGUUGGCGUCACCGGGCCUCCAUCUGGGUUGUGUUUUACGCUACUUUAGAGAAUAUCAAGUUGACGCCAGCGGGGAAAACGUGACCCCGUUUUGACCUCUGUUCACUUGAUAUUAUAAGACUUAUUUUGAAAAUGUUUGAGUGGUGAUUAUUUCAAUUUCUAUGGGGAUUUUAUGAAUUAAAAAAAAAGAAAUCAGUUCGACAAUUUCAUUUGUCAAAAAGAAGACAAGGUGUGUUCGAGGAAUGGUCACGAAUUUAGAAACCAACAUUUUAAUUUAAUCAACUUUAUGUGUCAACAAAACCCAUGAAAAAAUAUCGGAAUUGUCUAUUUUCCUUGAAAAAAAAGAAAGAAAACAACUGGAGUAAACUGUAUUUUCACAGCAUGAAUCACAUACUUUUGUUUAGUGAGUAUUACAGCUUCAGAAAAUAGAGCUUGGAGCCCUUUAAUCGCAAAGGCUGCAGAAUCAGCCUGAUUAAUGUCGAUCUCAGACGACGUGAGCAGUUAAUUUAUCUUAUUAUUUAUGUAGUAGAAUUAAUCUUAACAACACGCUUCAUCCCUCAGUUUAUCACAAACAUUCAACGCAGUUAAAAUGCAUCACUUUCUCUCCGGCACAAGACCACCCUCAGUUCAUCCCUCCUUCCAGCUUUCAUUUGGAAGGAAAUCAAACCACGCUUCCUCAUAAAAGCCAAAUCGCUCUCGCUGUGGUGACAUUCCAGCACGCAUAUUUAAAGAAACCUCGGGCGCACUUGCACAUUGGCGAGACUCCGAGCUCUUUGUACGUCCGUCCUCCUCCUCCUCCUCUGCCUCGGGAACCACUCGCUGUGGCCCGAGAUGAGUAGGAGGCUCCAGGCGAUGCAAUCAGAUCCUCGGAUCCCUUCUGGCGUUUGUUCCCCCGGCUUGUUUCCACUGUCAACACACUACUUGAGAGAAUUAAGGGGAGCCAAGUACCUGGAGCUCAGGAGGCAAUAAAGCAGCCAAAGCACAAUUAAACCUUCAGAGACGAGUCGAGUCAAGCUUAUUUCAGUCCGACUCGGAGCGCAGAGAUUCGGAUGUAAAGAGGAUGCGUGUGUGCAACCGUUAUAAAACAAUUGUUCUCUCUCUCUGUGUCACACACACAUACAGGAAAAAAACAGGGGUGUCGAGUAAAUGCUGUGAGUAUAUUAAUCAAGUCCUGUGCUGUGUCCUGUGAGUUUUUCCAUUCUCUGCUUUUCUUAUUCUACUUUUUAAUGCACACGAUUUUUCUAGUUGGAUGUGCUGGAAAAUGCAUCUUAACAAAGUUUUUAUACAUAACACACACAAACACAGCAUCAAUUAAGCCAUCGAGUUGUUGUUAGUCUGGAAAAAUGUUACUGGAGCCAAAACUGAAAAUAGCUUAUUAGAUAAAAAAUGCCUGGAAGCAAAUGUUUGCUCUUCUGCACCAUGACACACACACACACACACACACACACACACACACACGCACACACACCUGACGCACACUGUGCGAGCCCUCGUGUAAUUCUUUCCCCCUGAGUAAUCUUCUUCUUCCGACGUUAAACCUCACACCGCCGCUUUCACGCUCCCGACAGAUUCCUUCUGCGUGGCUGAAAGGGGGCUGUGUCCGUGUGGGAAUCCGCUUGCACCACCCGGUGAAAGAUGGUGUGUGUGUGUGUGUGUGUCUGUGUGCGUGCGUGUGUGUGAAAGUUACAUUUUUGUGAUAACUGGCGAUUUAAAACCACUUCUUGCACAAAAUGUGGGUGGUCCAGACCAGUCCAACCAAAGAAAACCGUUUUAAACGAUUUUAAUUUAAUUUUUUCUUUAUUCAAGGAUUAUUAACAGUUAACUUAUGGUAACAGAUAUUUGUGACAACACUGUAUUUGUUUAUAUUUCUGUGAAGGAAAGUGGACGAAACAAGAAGUCUCACAAGGCAACAAAAGGUUCGUCAUCUGCAGCCACGCAAGAUGUUGACGGGCGGACUUGUACUUGCAUGCAUAUACUUGUAUAUGUAGUUUAACUUGUAUAUGUACUCGUACUUUGUGUUACGGGUCCUCUGCUCUCUUUUAAAGGUCUUUCUGGGACCGUAGGGAGUAUAAUGACAUAACAUCGCUCUUGCUUGAACGACUCCUUUAAACAACUUUACUAAUUAGGGAUUUCCCCGCCAGCAAAACAGCAUCAAGAAAAGUGGGACUGAAUGUCGGCGCGGCUGCUCUCCCGCCGCGUGUCUCCACGUCCGUCCGUCCGCCUCGCUGUCUGUUAUUACUGCUGCUCGGGUACAUUGUGCGUCUGGGGGUGCCAUGAAAUACACACACAAACUCCCACAUUGCACACAUUCCACGUUUGGCCUCCAUGAGGCAAAUUAAAUGGCCUUCAUGGUUCGGCAGGAAACGGCCGAGGAUCGCCGUGUGGCUGGCGAGCAAAUGAGUUUGCGGAGGUCGAGGCCGAGGCCCCCAAGCCCGGUUGGUCUCGUUCAGGCGGGAGCAGUUCUGUCGGCCUGCAGGCCGGAAGAACAGCUGACUGACAUCAGGAAGAACAUUACGUUUUGUACUAACGUAUUGUUAGAUAUCGGUCCUCCCGCCGCAAUACAAGAUCCAAUCACAUACAAUGUGUGUGGUCUCCUAACACUAAUGUACACGUAGCCUGUGGAUGGCAGUACAAUAGAAACGUUGGUCCUUGAAUGAGGGAAGAAAAGUCUGCAUUUUUGAACUUCCGGUUCCCUCGUCUCAAAGUCGAUACUUGCUAGAUGCCCGAAAUAAGGUGGGUGCUUGACAGAUUGUUCUACAGCAAACAACAUGUCAGUCAGUACCCCACUCGCUAAUUUCAAAUCCCUUACAUUUAAAAAGGUGGUUAAAAGUUCUAAAAUGAUACCGCUUGGUUUAUUAAUGCCCAACGUUAGCUCGUUCGCUCUUUAGCCAUCUACCAAAUCUGAAAAGCAGUGAUUCGGCAGCACAUUCGGGUCCGUCUGUGAGAUCUGGAGCAUUUAACAACAAAAUGACAGUUCCAAAGCCAAACAGGAGUCAGAGGGUGAUUCACUGCGAAAAGCCCACGUGCUGAAGAAACACAAUGAAUGAAGGAAGGUGAUUUAUUCCGCAACUAUCCGAGGAAGGAAGGAAGGGGGGGGGGAGGCGUCUGACCACGGGGAACAUUCAGCGGCCAGUCGGUGACGCUGGUUGUUUGUUCCGGCAGCUGGUUUCUGCAAAGCUGAUAUGAGUCCUGCUAACGGGCCAAAUAAAGACACAUUCGUGUAAAUGUUGCACGAAGUUGAUCAGGUCGGGAAGCACGAGUCUCUUAAAAAAAAAAAAAAACAAUUCUCACAUGCUGCCUGACUUUUUUUCGUUUUUCCUAUCCAUAAAGAAAGACGACUCCGCCAGCGAUUGGCUCUGGUUGGGUCGGAUCCGUUCGGGUUUCUGUGGCUCGGUUCGUCGUGCAGAAAUGAACCAAUCCGUCAUCGUCAGCGUUCAUUAAUCUAAAGCUUCGCUCUGCAGUAGCUAAAGAGAAGGGACACAGAAACCACCUGCACUGGUAUGAGGUCAUGUGAAUGUAUUAUUUGCCUCGUGGUUGGUGCUGGUUGUAGCUUUGAAUGGUAACAAUGGGCAACAAGCGUCGCGGAGGGGGCCCCCAGCAUAGUAGGUGGCAGACUAAAGUGGGGCCCUUCUGACCUAUUUACGGGCUGCUUAUCUAUCGAAUGUGUAGGAUAAAUAUGAGUACAGAAAUUAGCAAACUUAAGAUAUUAUGCUCGACUGUCUGACCGCAGAGAAAUAACAAGAAAUAUAAAUAUGAAAACAUGCUAUAAAAAGAUUAAAAAGAAUAAAAUAUAACAAACAGGGCUCUCUCUGCAUUGAAGAAGAAGGUACGCUGGAGCCUUUAUUGUGUGUGGUUGCAUUAGUGUCCAUUGUGAGUUGGUCCCACCACCCUCAGCAAUGUCAUUUGACGCGCAGUUUUUCCAUAAUUUGCCGAUUAAUGCGAGGCAGAUGCACGUAAUGCUUCUGUGUGCGGAGCUGGCCGGCCUCAGAGGUAGCGGGAGUGCUCAGGCUAUGAGAUAAUGCCAGAGGGAGGCCAGCCUGGGACCGACACUGCUGCUACUGCUGCUGUGUGUGUGUGUGUGUGUGUGUGUGUGUGUGUGUGUGUGUGUGUGUGUGUGUGUGUGUGCACAGUCAUAGUAAACCCCACCAGCGGAUGUUUUACAUCCCCUUUCCGCUCAAUUACUGCUUCUCAAGGUCACAGAUAUCUGUUCAAGAUAACUUUUGCAGGUUUUCUCAGCCAACUGCAGCCAUCAUUUCAUAAUAUAUAUAUAUAUAUAUUUUUAAAUAUAGAGAUACAUGUAUAUACAUAUAGGUAUACAUAUCUAUAUCCAUAUAUAUCCAUAUUUAUAUAUAUAUAUACAUACACAUGUGUUGGUUUUUAUCUCUUUGUUUUGCAUACUCGCAUUUCCACUAAAAUGUGAGUCCCAGGAGACCAUAAAAGGCCAUAAUGAGCACCUCUUCGUCAUAACGAGAGUCGUAAACGUUGCUGUGGCUGCAGUCUGAGGCCCCUCAUUGUUUCUUGGCUCUCUCCUCGUCCUCCUCGCCCCGUGAUUUUUUUAUUAGAUCCUCAAUUCCAGGUCCAAGUUUCCCCCGAGCUGUUUGUGCUAGUUGUUUGCUCAUGAUCACCUAAUAGAUUUAGUGGGAAUGUGUGCGAGCUAUUCAGAGUAUGUGUAUUGGUGUAUGUGAGUGUGUGUGAGUGCGUGUGAGUGCGCGCGCGUGUGUGUGUGUGUGUGUGUGCGCAUUCCAUCCUGGGACUCACCGGGCCUCUCCGGAUCUCAGCGCAGCGCGUCGCUCUAAUCCUGCCUUCCUGUUUUCCUGCAGGAGGAGAAGUGAGGCGGAGAGGAAGAGCACAUCUGAUAAUUAUCCCGAUAACAGUCGCACUCAGUUCACCUGCAAGCCAGCGAGGAGACUGUGAAAAGUAAAAAAAGUUGCACUGGUAAACACUUUUCAAUUUUAGCGACCCAAUUUAGAAAGUGGGAGCGCAGCGGGACGACUACAAAGAGUCGCAAAACGACCACAAGGGGGGAAACAUGCAAAAAAUAACCACAUAAAAGUCACAAAGACACACAAAAUAACUAUGAAAAGGGGCUGAACCCACUAAAGUGUGUGUCUGGCCCCUCUGAGGGAAUUACAUGUCUGUGCCAUGGGGACUUUUGUCUUAUAAUAACAUUUUAAAUGUACUGUGAAAACAAUCUAGCUAGCUAAUCUUGUGCUAAGCUAAUGUGUGUGUCCUCGUCUCGACUCACAGAAAUAUCAAAAUACAGGAUGUUUACCACACCCAAGUGAAAGUACUCAUUACGAGGAAUGACUCAUUUUAGUGACUUUAUAUACUAUAUAUAGUAUACCAUUCAGGAAAACGACAUGUGAGUAAACGCUAUACUACGAAAGUAUAUGAACCUACAUGUAAUGGGGUAGUUUAAAAAUAGUUACAGUAGUUCAAUAACGGCACACAGAAAUUAUUGUCAGUAAAACCUCACAAAGAAAACAAGUUGUUUAUUGCUGUUGUAGCAAGACAGAAUAAAUAAAAUCGACAAAAUGGCAAAAAUAUCUUAAACACAUUAAAAGCUUGUGUGAUUAAAUUAGGCAAAGGUUAUAAACCUCAACGCUCUAAGAGCGUUGUUCUUUGUGGUAGAAAGAAGCUAAUGAAAGUAUUCCUGCACUUGAUUUCAACGUUAUAUUGCUUUAUAUUGCUAAGUACAUGUACUCAAAUACUGUAGUUAGGUCGACAUCGUAUGUUCUGUUGUGCACAAAACAGCUUUAUUUACUCUACAAAAUAAGAUUCUGCUCACAAAAUAUACAGCUAGUUAAUUCAACAUGAUCCUUAUUUCAACGCGUACACAGCAGCUGGGAUGGAAGAUAUGUGCAUGUUGACGGAGAUCCCGAGAACAUGAUUGUCGGAUUACAAUCCCAAUAAAGAUGUCUACUCGUGAGGGAGGGAGAAGGAGAGAGAGAGAGAGGGAGAGAGGGGGGGGUAGGAGGCGGGUGCUGGAAGGUUUUGCUUCUGCUUGACGGUAAUGACGUGUCUAAUGGUGAACUGUCAGCAGCUUAGACAGACCAGAGAGCACGAGACUCUGUGGAGACGCACUACACACACACACACACACACACAAAUCCUACACGCAUACAAACGCGCCCGCUUGGUGACGCCAGACCAAUUACCACCCACCGCCGGUUACCGCGGCUCUGAAACCCCUCCGCCAUGUGUGGAUGGGCCUGUAAUGUGGUCGGCACGCAGCGAGGGCGUCGCGAUGGUUCGGCAGAGCCGACAGACGCGUGUGAAGCGGGCGAUUUAUUACCCGCCGGCCGUCUUUACUCCCAACGGCUCGGCCCGACCGGCGGCUGGAAGGGCCAGAACGGUUCUGUCGCAAUGGAAGGAACCACACAUUGGAGCUUAGCAUCAAAUGCUAUCAGGUAAAAUGGUAACGCAACCAAUGUGCUUUUGAUUCUCCUGUCACGCGCCAACAUGCAGACAUCUACUGCACGACUUAUUGCUUAAAAGGGCUUCAAACGUUGUUCAUUCACCAGCAGCAUGAUGCCUCGUAUUUCCCCUGCGAUGAGGACGUCGGCGGCAACGGCCAGGACGUAGAAGGCAACGACGGAACCUUCAUCUGAUGACGGGACCGAGGUGAUGAUGACAGAACGUUUCGACGGACCUCGGCAACGACUGGCCGAUAACGAAGAAACAACGAACAAAGACGGGACGCAGGUAAUGGCGGUACAGGGACAAAGGUGACGGAAGAUAGGACGUAGGCGAUGACAAAGGAACAGAGGUAAGUCUCCUUAAGUUUCCUUAGAUGGAUGUAAAGGGAAACUAAAAACAACCAAAUUCAAAUAUAUAGGCCCGUCUGACCUCCAAACAGCUCUUCUGUCCUUGUCUUUCUUUGUAGCGGACACAGACCCGGUGAGGGGGUAGUAAGUCAUCUGGAUGGGGAGGGAUGAGACGGACCCCCCGCUGCCUGGAAGACAUCUGCUCUCCGUUUUUCUUUCACGCCUUUCGAGAAGCCGCAUCGCUGCGCUCUCUCCGCCUCUGCCGCUACGUACAAACGUGGCUGCGAGCUGAGCUGCCUCCCAAACGGGGCUUUAGUUCCCUCGGUUAAGAAGGUUGCCCAUCCGAAAAGGAGGAGGUGGAUGAAACCUCGCAGAAGGAAAGAGAGCGACUAGGAGAACGGGUGAAGCAAUGCCUUAAAGCUUCGGACAACUACGAGGGCAAACGGAUGAUCGUUGGCUUCAGGCGGUUGGAGGAGCAGACUUGAGCUCCUGAAUUUAGGGGUUGCUUGUGCAAUGCAAUGAAUACAAUUUGCUGUGUCAUUGGUUGGGGAGCCAGUGGGGUUUAGUCUGGAAGCAAAGCGGGUUAUGCCCAAUUUAUAAAGAAAAGAAAAGAAAAAACACGUUGCGUUAUUUCCCAUGAAAAGGAGAAAUCUUGAUCUCUAAAUCAAAACCAUGUAGUAGUUUCACGGCUCCACAAUCAGAGCUUUGGAUUGCAAAACGCGCUUCUCACUUAUCCUGUUUAAUCCUUCCCUUUCCCACCUGAAGAGAGGCGAUUGUUGCGGGAGAACCAGCGCGUCCGGGUUCACGUCCAGAAACAUUUCCCCAUUUAAAAGAGGCAGCCGUGGAGUUUGGGGUUGGAUUAGAUUAUUCACACAUUUUUCUGCCUCCUUGGCAGAGACUUCCUUUUCUCUCAACAGCUGCUGAAACUCUCAAAAGUUUUAUAAAGGUUUGCAUGACCUCUCCGACGACACUUCUCUCAUUAGGAAAUAUAUAUAUAUAUAUAUAUAUAUAUAUAUAUAUAU
ensembl:lncRNA